GGAGAGGGCUAGCGUUAUUCGGAAUUAUUGGGCGUAAAGGGCGCGUAGGCGGAUUAGUAAGUUAAAAGUGAAAUCCCAAGGCUCAACCUUGGAAUUGCUUUUAAAACUGCUAAUCUAGAGAUUGAAAGAGGAUAGAGGAAUUCCUAGUGUAGAGGUGAAAUUCGUAAAUAUUAGGAGGAACACCAGUGGCGAAGGCGUCUAUCUGGUUCAAAUCUGACGCUGAGGCGCGAAGGCGUGGGAGCAAACAGGAUUAGAUACCCCUGGUAGUCCACGCUGUAAACGAUGAAUGUUAAAUAUGGGAAGUUUUACUUUCUGUAUUACAGCUAACGCGUUAAACAUUCCGCCUGGGGACUACGGCCGCAAGAUUA
rnacentral:rRNA from 1 species